AUAUGUUACCAGUUAAAGGUGUCCAGGUUCUUGGCGUCUUGAACAAAGAAUUGGACAAAACACACAAACAAAGCAAGGAAAGAAUGAAGCAACAAACACAGAGAUUUAUUGAAAAUGAAAGUAUACCCCAUAGGGGCGUCGAGCAUAGGGGCUCAAGAGCCCCAUUACAGAGUAUUCUGGGUUGAAAUAUACUCUAGAGGUUUCCAUUGGUUACUUGGUGUAUGCCCUAUGUAAAUGAAGAGGAUAUUUCCUGUCGUAGCUGAAGUGUUUCCAUUUGAUUUAGUUCUAGGAAGUCCAGCGUGGAUCGGCCUUAGGUUCUCUGCCUCCUGCCUCAGAAGAACAGAGGAGCGUCAGGGACCCAAAAUACCCCUGUGGCUGCCCUCAUGCUGGCCCUUAGCAAUCAAAGAAAUACAGAUUUAAAUACUAAGGAUUUUGUUUUGUUUUAUAUCUAGGAGGAGGUCCCUAGUUUGGAGAACAGGCUGUUUCAUACCCAGCUUGAGACACAGCAUUGGCACAAACCUUGCUGAGGAGCAAUUUGGCAAUAUGUUCCCUAUGCCCUAAAAAUUGCCUCAGUAAUUUCACUUCUGUAAUACUCUUCUUAGGAAACAAUUAUAGAGACCAUCAAACCAGAUGAUCAUGUGGCAAGUGUUCCAGCCAGUUCCAGAUGAAGACACCACCCCCUGAAGAAGCUACCCUAUUUCCACUAGACAGAGGAGGGCGAGAAUUCCAUGAUUCCAUGAUUCCCAAUAUGUAAGGACUACACCUCAAUCAGCAUGAGGCAAUUACAGAAGAAAGACCAUUGGUCCCUCUGCCUCCCAUAAAGAUUUAUGGGGAUCACAUCUCUCAGGGAAAAAUGAGGCAGGAGAAUAGGGUCUGGAGGCAGGGAUCAUAAGGCUGAUUCACACUGACUUCCUAGAACUAAAUCAAAAGGAAAACCCCAACUUUCCACACCUAAGUAACAAAAGGACUGGAGGCUACUCCCUUUGCAAACCACCCCCUGCCGCCCUUUUUCUACAUGGUAGAUGGAAAAUUUAAAGUAUCUCUAAUUGGUUGCAGGUUGCAGAAAGCAACCAAUCAGAGGCUUGCAUAGGAGUGUAACUUUGUAACUUCAGCCUCUGAUUGGUUGCUUUUCACAACCAAUCAGACACUUGCAUAAGUGUAACCUUUGUAACUUCAGCCUCUGACUGGUUGCUUUCCUAAACCAAACAGACUAAUUGCGGGCCAUACUUCACUUACAUAGCGUGUACACCAAGUAGUAACCAAUGGGAAACCUCUAGAUGGUAUUUAAAUCCCAGAAAAUUCUGUAAUGGGGGUCUUGAGCUCCUAUGCUCCGGCCGCUCCCACCCUGUGGAGUGUACUUUGAUUUUCAAUAAAUCUCUGCUUUUGUUGCUUCAUUCUUUCCUUGUUUUGUUUGUGUGUUUUCUUCAAUUCUUUGUUCAAAACACCAAGAACCUGUACACCCUACACCAGUAACACAUGCUAUGGUCAAUAUCUACAAUUUCUGUCUCCAAGUAUGCAAGCACUACUUUGAACCGCAUACACUAACAACUUGGUGUUCUGGGUCAUUAGUUGCAAAUCGACAGGUUCUGUUUUAGUCACAAAAUCAAGUUUCAUCACCG
rnacentral:lncRNA from 1 species